rnacentral:lncRNA from 1 species
GCCUUAAAAGCUCAUUUACUCUAACUUCAUUGUAUAUUUGUGUAUAAAAUAUAUUCCAAUCGCAUUCAAUUUAUCUCAGACAUUCAUUGCCUAUUUUCAUACACAGUUUCGUCUUCUCUAAUCUUUUAGUCUCAGUGUGUAGGAGGUAAUAAAUCAAAUGGAAAACGAUUUUGUGUCGACUUUUAACCGUUUUCGAUUCAUUCCC